GCUUUUGAACAGAUAUAUAGGCUGUGUCAUUUAAUAGCAAUUAAAAGAGGCAAACGUACAGGAGGAUAAACAUGCUCUUUUCACAGAGGAGGUUUUCUACUCAUUGCCAGGCCCAUCGGUAUCAGUAGCUUUACUGGUGAGCUUUAAAGAAGAAGGUUCCCUUUAGAGUUAAAAAUGGACUUUCUGAAAUUUCCCCCAGACAUGUGCAAAAUAAAAAAGGCCAUUUCGAACACAUUAGUGAAAAGUAACUGCACACCCAGGCGGGGAAAAAAAAAAAGAAAGAGAGAGAGGCAACGGAGGCAGCCAGGUGCAGAGUCCUGGGAGAAGGCCCCAGGGAGGGUGCUCAGAGGCCUUACAGGGAAAGCCACAGCCAAUGCCAAUCCUGGGUAAAGGGCCCUGGGUCUGGGAUCUGCUGAACAAGCACUUGUCAAGUGUGCAGGGAAGCUAGGCUGACGCGGAGGAGGCCUGGGACACGAUGAAAAUACUGGCAACUGCUGCCCGGAAACUGUAUAGUCCCUUUACCAACAGGGAUGCGCCGCUGCCCCCACUUUUGAGGGCCUGCUCUUCCCCAGGCCCAAGAGCUCCAGGCACACUCUCCUCAAAGGGACUGCGCUACGAAAUAGGUUGAAACCAAGCCAGCUGCCUAAACUAUGACUGAAACCCACUAGGGUCCCCAGCUGGACUGUCCCUCCAGGAAUAAGGACCUGAUUUCGCCAAGAACUUGGCCAACUAGAGGACUGGAAGUCUCCUGGGCACCACGUUCUGGCCCUUCUAAGAGACCUCCGGGGCACUUGUACAUCUCUGGGCAUUUUGAGGCCAGAUCUUAGGAGUCUGGGCACCCAUGCUUUGCACAAGUCCUCUCAAGGGCUGGCCCAGCUAGAGGCCUCGAGACAAAACUGAAAAAUCCGACUUCACCAAUUCAAACAGCAUGUCUCCACAGACAGCGCAGUGGCUGCAUGUUGGUUCUGUUUGGGAAGACUGAAGGCAGACCAAGAGGGGAGAGGGAUCUAACAAAGAUCCACCCAGGAGCCUUGAGCUUGGAUAAGCCUUUUUGGCAGAAGGACUUGUGUGUGCAAGGGGCAGGCUACCCUCUUUCCUCUCCCCCCAUCCACCUUCUCUUCUAUAGCACAGUGUUUCCAGGGUUCGGGUUUGAGAAAAGAGCAGCAAUGACAAUGCUUAAAAAAACCAUGUGACCUGCUUAAGGUUCUCUCAGUUCCACUUCAAAGUCUCAGCACUCAAACCUGAAGAGACCUUGUUCCAACUGCGGUCCAGUGCAAGAGGGUGUUUGGGUCCCUUCUUAAGCAAUAGGAUGAGAGUGACUCUUCUUGCUCUUUUCUAAUAAAGUCUCGAGCGGGAGGGAUGGCACUUGGGGUCUUAUUCCCAUGGCUCCCUGCCUCCCCAUGGCUAUCGAGACUCUGGGUGGCAGCCCUACAUCUCUGAGCCUCAAGCUAAGGCCCUGGGCCGACUGUCUAGCCCUUAGGACGAGGCUCGGGAGGCUUCUGCAGAGCCCACAUGCAGCCUGGCCUCUCCAGCUUUGAGGGAACCUGCACGUCUGAGUGCAUGUUUUCUUCCCCACGGUUUCCAAGCUGUGGUACAAUAUUUUUUUUUUGGGGGGGGAGGGUUGUGAAAAAGGAAACACUGCCUUCCCCAGAAGCAACUCAGUUGCUGACAAAGGUGGUGAAGAAUUCUGUUUGAUGAGUCUUUCCUCCCACUAAUCCAAGCUGGAAAUGCCUGUGUGGCUUAUUUGUCAUAGUUUGGUGAUCCACAAUUAUACGCUUGCCAGUAGCCUUAGUAGCAUCUUCCUGAAGUGUUUUAAAGGGCAGGUUUCUCUGUCUGACCUCCCAGCAAAGCCCUUGCAUUAGGUCUCGGGAGCCCAUUUCAGAGAGUGGACACAGCUUCCGAGCUAACGGGGCCAGGCUCCUUUUGCAAACUCCAGAGCUGGAGGGAUGGGAUAACAGGUGAUUUUUCUCAGGUGAAGCCACAAGACAGCUAUGGGGACCUCAAAAGGGGAUGGAAGCGUCAGGCUUGAGCAAGAAGAGCUUCUUUUCCAGGAUAUGACUCAGCGAAGGACAGCUGGGCCAGAGGAAAGAAACCACUAGCCAUGGUCGACCUGCUGUAUUUCACGGUGACAAUUUCGCCUAAGGGUAAAGUAAGGACCAUUUUCAGGCUUCUGGAAUCUGACUAUCCCAGGUGACGCUGCUGGAGGAGGGCACGUCUGAGACUCUGUCUAUGGAAAUAACUGCUGACUUAGGCCCUGAACCAAGUGCCCUGACCCUGAAAGAAGACAAGGAGAGGAAGGGGGAAGGAACUGGGGCUCUGAUUCCAUUCACACUGGCUCUCCAGAUCCAGUAAAACUCCUCCUGGUGUGGGGGGCACCUACAGUUAGUCAUGAGGUCCGAUUAUUCCCACUGCACACUCAGCUCUUCUUUGGCCCAGAAAAACUAGAAGUAAAAGCACUGGGUCAGAUCGAGGCUAAAAAAUGCCAUCCCCAGCGGGAUGGGGGCGAGGGGUAUUGGGGUGAAGCCAUCAUCUUGCCACAUGCCACACUUGUUCCCUGAUCAGUGAAAGUCAGUGCACUGAGGAGCUGAACCUCACAACUUGGGAACUGGGCGCUGGUCUUUCCUACGCUAAACAGAACUGUUUUCCAGGCUCUUUCUUUGUGUCAAGAAGAAUCGGCCUCCCCUCUGCAGUGAAUGGGGCACCUAGGAGCCAACAGGAUGUACUUCCUGCCUACUCACCUCCCUCCCAGUGCCAAGCACCCAUUUUGUUUGUGUAGUUCCUGAGCCCAGACCUAAGCUCUAGAGCCACGGAUGAAAGGUGGCUGGUCAUACUGGGACAGGUGACACGACCAUCCCUAGGAAGGGACAGACAGUGUGCUGUAACUUUGCCUGAAUCCCAGCCUAGCAACCUCUCAUGGACUUGCUGACUCUCGCGCCUCUGUUACUCAAGGGAAGGGUUAUGCGAAUACUGUACAUGGGUUAUUAAAAAAAUACAUCUGCUCUCUUUGAAGAAGAAUGCACAAAUGCAGGGCCAGCCAGCGCUGGCUCCCGGGAUCCGGGGCUGCAGCGAGCGGCCUCUGUCGGCCCGAGGCCAGCCUUCACGAGUGGUGGCUGCUGAUGAGUCCCCGGAGUUGCUUGGCCACAGUGUCAAUCAAUUUCUGCUUGUCUCGCUCGUUUUUCCGAAACUGUGCAAACAUGUUGUUCUUGCGGCUCGUGUCCUUCAUCCUGAGCAGAGAAGGAAAGAAAGAGCAAAAUGCGUGCGGUGACAAUGGUGGAGAGCCUAUUUUCACCACCACUUGCAGCUGAGAGACUGCAGAAUAUUGUCACUGUCAGGCCCAUACUCACCUACGAUUGAGGAAGAUGCCCUUGGAGGCACACCCACGGCCAUCCCAACUUCAGUCACCUCUGGAAAGCAGUCCAGAGCCAGCUCUGGCCAAUUCCCUCGUCAUUCGUUCCCACCCCACCAACUUCAUUCCUGUCUAUGCCCAGCUGUGCACCUGCUGUCAGUAUGGGGACCUGCUAUAGCCCUGAUGGUCAACAGGAUCUUAGAGGACCUCUAAGGUCUUCUCAUUACCUCAUAAAAGUACCAAACUCUGCUCCGACCUGCGAGCCCGUAUUUGAAAGGGAAGGCAGAACAAUGUCCUUCACUAGCAAUUCCAGAAGAAUGUGAGUACCUGAAAGCCACUGUAUAUUUCUAAACCCCACUCUAGCCCGUUACUCUAUCUUCCCCCUACAAAACUAAGGGCUUGAUUGAUUUCUUUUCCUUUGUCUCAGAGAAAGGGCCCAGAGGCAGCGAGGUGGCCAAGAGGGCAUGGUGCUAAGGAAAGCGGGUACCAAAAGGCUGAGCCAGCCUCUCACUUGAUAAGCCCGGGUUUUAGGUAAGAGGAGCUUCCAAGAUCUCAACGGCUGCUACAUCCUGGAUCUUGACCUUUGGAAAACUGUUGAACUGGCUCAUGAUAAAGCUCCAGGGAUGGCAGAGUCUUGGUGUACAAACCGUGGGCAGUUCUGGCCACCAAUGCUGCCAGAUGGAGAGACCUCACUGGGAAGCAUGGAUGGAGACGGGCAAGGCCAGGCUGAGGCUGGCAGAGAAACUCCCAGAUCUGACUGGGCCAUGGUGACAGAACCCAGGAAGCUGUCACUCCCUGAAAAGGGUGCAGAGCCCCUGAUAUCUGCUGGAGAUUGAUAACUCCGGCCCUGGACUCUACAUGCUGUACCUCCAAUCCACAGAUAGUUCUAAUGUUAGAGAAUUAAGAACACUGGCCAGACCCACUUCUCCCUGGAGAAGGGCUAGGCACCUCCUCACCACCCUCCUGCAGGAGGUGGGCCAGCUCUCUGACCUCAGAGCCCCCCGGCCUCCAUGGAGAUAGGCUGGGAGCAGGGACAGGAAGAACCUGGCCCUGGGGGAGUCAAGUAUCCCAGGCAGGCUUUCUCAGGGCCUUUGGCCAAUCCUGGCCCCAUUUUUUCCUGUGGGCGGCCCUGUGCAGAGGGACAGACUAGAGGCCUUUGGUCAAAAAGCCAGGGACAUGUAUCUCCAUAUGGUAAGGAGGUUCUCAUGAGAGCCAUAGCUUUGUGGCGCUGGCUGACAGUGACAGCCACAAACGAAUGGAGAUUUCUCUUUGAUCUAAGCUUUAGGGCCUGCAGGCUGGAAUUACUCAUCCAGCAAACUUAGAACACUGCAUAUAAGGUACAACCACCCACAUGCGGAGGCUGUGCUGGGGAGGGGGGAAGGAGGAGAGGUGACAGAGGUUUAGGUGGAAAAGAACCUUGCGGUCGACAGGGGUCCCCAAGGCUGGGAAUGAUUACUGUAUCUUGUCCCUGACACUUUCGUUGCCCAGUUAUGUUUGUGCAACUGGCUUGGUUUAGGAGUACUGAUCCCAGAGGCCAACCCCUUUUCUUUUGCUGGAUAUACCACAAAUCGAAAUCGAAUCAACCCAAAGCGAAAGAAAAAAGAAAGAAGGGAAGGAAAAUGCUUCCUGACUUUAUAGGACAUUUACUGUAACAUCCUAUGUGAUCAUUAGUGUGCUGACUCCUCAAAGCAGCCCAGAGACAGGCAGGCAGAGCUGGCUUUCAGCCCCAUGGUGGAGCUCUGGAAACAAGGCAGGAAAAAGGGGGAAAGAGGGUCGUCUCUGCACCCCAGCGGCCAGCGUUUGCGGGGUCAUUAAGGCCUAGAGUUGGGGUUACUUGAAAGAUCGGCUCGAGUGCCCUAAGGGCUGAUGGUGGCAUACAGGUUUUUCCCCUGGGAGGUUCUAAAACCAAGGGAGAGCUCCCCCCAACCCCCGCCGUAGUCUGUGAGCCCAGGAUCCUGAUCUCCUUUGGCUCUGGCCACCUCCCAGGGACACAGGGGCCUCCUCUCUGUCCUGAAUGUCCUCUCCAGGUCUUUGGGUCUUUCCAGGUCUCCCCCUGCUAAGAAAGGCUGGGCUGAAAAGGGGAGUAUUAAGGUCUGGUGGUACAGCUGGUGGUGGGGAAAGUUGGGACAGGUCAGGGCAAGGGGAUGAUUCCUAUGAGGCUGGGAAAUACAGAUGGUAGUGACCUGGGUGGCCUUUGGCCUUUGUGUAUGGAACGAAGCUUUUUAACCCUGCUGAUUGCUAGGGCUAAGCACGUGGCUUUAUUACCGGCCAGGCCCCCAGAAUGCUACAGACAGGCUGAUUCUUUUCGGCUAUUGUUGAUUCAUAGGAAGUAGAUGAGCCAGGACUUCUUGGGUCUAGAGCGUCUCAGGAAUAGAGGAGGAAAGAAUUAUUGAGAGAGGUAACUGGCCGAAGGGAAUCGGAGAGCCCAUGUGGACACAUAAUGAAUACGGCGCCUAAGCACCAACUCAAAAGCCAUUUCAGCUGGGUACUGAGAACUCUGUGAUGAGGCCUUGCCUCUGGUAAAGAGCCUUCCAUGGGAGAUGUAGGUUCCAGAUCUUAAAGCCAUGGGCCUCACCACUGGGAGGGAGGGAAGAUGGCCGAGGAGCUUCCUUCUGUCAGGGCUGAGUUUCAGGCUCUGGACUAGCAAGAGUAUUGACUGUGCCAGGAAACUGGGUGGGAACAACCCUUUACCUGGCACCAAUGGGGGAAAAUCCCUGUCACCACUCCCAGCCCCAAAGGAAUUGGUAAGCCAAGGGUCACUCAGAGGACCAAGGAGAGAGGAGGCAGCCAGCCAGUUGGCACCAGACUGGUUUAGUAGAUUAGUAUGUCAGGGUGGGGACCACUCACAGGGUAGGGAUUUUAGUGUAGUCAUUAGUGUCAAUGAGGAAACCAGAAGGACUUGCCUCAAAGUGAUGGAAAAGGCCCAAGUGAAUAAUAUACUUACUCUCUAGAUAUCCUAGGGAAGAAGGUCAUGGGGAGAGAGAACCAUGGGAAACAAAGUUAAAAUGGAAACAUCAGUCUCUGUCUUGGUCUGGAGAAAGCUGAACUGUGGGUUCCUAAGUUCUUGGCUCC
rnacentral:lncRNA from 1 species